rnacentral:tRNA from 3 species
AGCUGGCAUGGCUCAACGGUAGAGCAGCUGACUUGUAAUCAGCAGGUUGUAGGUUCGAUUCCUAUUGCCAGCUCCAU